CCCUUAGAUGUUCUGGGCAGCACGCGCGCUACAAUGGUCUUCGCAAACGGAUGCAUUCUCGAAGGAGAAUGCCAAUCUUGGAAUCUAUGCCUUGGUCGGGACAGUUGCUUGCAAUUUUUCGACUCGAACCAGGAAUUCCUUGUAGUCGUGAUUCAUCACAUCACGAUGAAUACGUCCCUGCCCUUUGUACACACCGCCCGUCGCUCCUACCGAUCGAAGAGUUAGGUGAAUUGUUUUGAUCGAUAAGAUUUGACUAUGGUCAACUCUCGUUGUGAAAUUCUGUGAAUCUGACUGUUUAGAGGAAGGAAAAGUCGUAACA
rnacentral:rRNA from 1 species